AUUUGCAAAUAAUCUUCAUAGUAAUAGUUUAAAUGUAUCUAUUGGAAACAUGCUCUAUCCUGAGAAGAAUUGGCAUUGGGGACAGAUUUAAAACUUGAUUUAAUCUAUAUCCACUCAUUUUCUUUUUGCAUUAUCUUUUAGGGUUCAACUUUAAAAAAGGAAAAAGUGUGGGGUCAUGGGUCUAUUUGACAUUUUAAAAACUAGUAGUAUAUUUGUCAAUGUGGGUCAAGGACUUAUUUGUUGUUUUAAAUACUUGGGAAAAUAAAAUAACACUACAAAAUCUAUUAUAAUCUCAAAUAUAUUUUUUAAAAUAUUAUAUUCUGAUAAAAUAUUAUUACAUCACUACAAUCAAGGCGCCUCUCACAUUUCUUCUUCUCCAAGUGCAACGUCCCAUCCCGCUUUUCAUUUCAUCUUUCCCAUACACCCUCUUCCAGUAUAAUCAUACACUACUCUUCCCCAUAUACUUCUCUCCCCCCCCCCCCCCCAAGUUAACUUAAACAAACGUUUCUCACUUAUCAUCUUUCUCAAAUUACGUGUCUCUCUUAUCAUCUUCCUCAAAUCGUGAUUUGUUUUUCUCACGUCAGGUUCAAAGCUUUAAUCUUUGGUUUGGAUAUAUGAAGCUUUUUCAUAUCUUGAAAAGUAUGCUGGGAAGUCCUUGGAUACUCCACUGCCCAUUCUCCGUAUACUAAAAUGGCACACAUCAAAGAGCGAAGAUGUAGUUGUAGGUGAUCCAUCCAAGUAUAAGGGGAGAAGUACGAAGAAUUACAUGAAAAUAUUUAAGCCAUAUACGGAUGAAGUGAAGGUCUAAUCAUCGAUGUAUUGAAGGCCCAAUUGAAAAGUGUGACAAUCCUCAUUGAAGGUGAUGAACAUUUGGGUGAUCACAAUGUACAUUGUGUGAAUUCUCUUUCUAAUAGACAGAAAAAUGUACAGAGUACUUCUAAUGAUGGGAAUUUGGAAAAUCUGAGUGAUCGUGUCUUAUACCUUGAGCAAUCAAUGGUUGAAGUCGUUGCAUAUGUAAGGGCAGAAAAGUUGAGGAGAAUUGAAAAGAAUAAACCAAAAAAACAAGAAAAAAGACCUUGCAGUAGUUGAUGAAGACUUUGCUGCAAUUGAUGAAUACUUUACGAAUGGAGUUGAUGAAGUGACAGUUGAUGGUGUGGCAAUCGAUAAAGUGACAAGUGAUGGUGUGAUAGUUGAUGAUAUUAUUGAUGAAGUGGUAUGUGUAGUUGAUGAAGUGGAAAUUAUUGAUGAAGUGGCAGGUGUUGAUGUUGCUGAUGAAGUGAAAAGUGAUGAAAUGGCAGGUGUAGUUGAUCCAAUGACAGUAAUUGAUGUUGAUGAAGUGGAAGGUGAAGUUGAUCUAGUGACAUUUUUGAUGAAGUGGCAGGUGAAGUUGAUCCAGUGUCAAUUGUAGAUGAUAUGGCAAAUGCAGUUGAUUCAAUAGUAGUUGAUGUUGUUGAUGAAGUAGCAAUCGAUAAUGUUGCAGUUAGUUAAGUGGCAGUUGUUGGUAUUGCUGAAGUGAUAACUGGUGAAGUGGCAACUGAUGUUAUUGAUGAAGUGGCAAAAGAGAAAAAGGAAGAAGAAAAAGAAGAUGACAGUGUUGAAGUGGAUGUCAUGAGUAUCAUUAUGAAACUCAAUGGUGACAUUAAUGGUGAUGAAAGUAUAUGGCAUCUUGAGACAAUGGUUUUUGUCGUUUUGCCAUUUUGUGGAUAAAAUUGAAGUGAUUUUGUGAUUUUGAAGUAUUUGUUGUUUUGUUGUUUUUGGAGAAAAUUGUACAACUGAAAGAUUAUAAAUGUUUUUGUAUAUUGUUAAUGGUGAUUUUGAGAAACAA